GGUUAAGAAUGAGGUAGGGUACUGGCAACAGUGCUCUGCUGAAUAUUUUCACCCAUGUCUUUUGCGCACUUUUUGUUUCCUGGGCGAGUUUGCUCGCCACCAGGACCCCCAUAUGAACCUUUUUUGUUUUUGCACUCAGCGUCAGUACAAUAAUUUAAUCUAUUAAAACUUUCAACAACGGAUCUCUUGGUUCUGGCAUCGAUGAAGAACGCAGCGAAAUGCGAUACGUAGUGUGAAUUGCAGAAUUCAGUGAAUCAUCGAAUCUUUGAACGCACAUUGCGCCCUUUGGUAUUCCAAAGGGCAUGCCUGUUCGAGCGUCAUUUGUACCCUCAAGCUUUGCUUGGUGUUGGGCGUCUUAUUGUCUCUCCGUCUCGGGGAGACUCGCCUUAAAACAAUUGGCAGCCGGCCUACUGGUUUCGGAGCGCAGCACAAAUUUGCGCUUGCAAUCAGCCAAGGGCGGCAUCCAUGAAGCCUUUUUUCUCUCACAUUUUGACCUCGGAUCAGGUAGGGAUACCCGCUGGACUUAAGCAUAUCAAAAAGCGGAGAGAA
rnacentral:rRNA from 1 species